AGGGGACCUCGCCGGGCUCCAGACGCAGCUCCGCGACCUGGAGGCUGACCUAGCGCAAACCCUGUCGCUUAAAAUCGCCAAGGAGAGGAAAUGCGAGCGCAUUAGGGAGUCAAUCUCGGCCUCGACGGCCUCAAGCGAGCAGCUCAGGAACAUGGUCGCCGACCAGAGGAACAGGGGAGUCCAGCAUGCCACGGUCGUAUCGCGUGCGCUCCAAGCUGUCGAGGCUCUCGAAACGAAGAUCAGUGAAGAUGGACAGUGGAGGGAAGAUAUAGACAAAGCUGUUUCAUGGUACCAACAGUUUGCCGGCUUCCAAGUCGUUGAGGAAGUAGAAGGUAA